AAUUUCUUAAUUUAAUUAUUACUAUAGAAAAUAUUUUGAUCUGAAAUCUACAUCACAUAAAUAAAAUUAUGAAACAAAAAAAUACUAAUUUAAUACACUGAUUACCAAUAUUAAUAUUGAAGUUUUAUGAUUUAUAAUAAUUUAAAAUUUCUAUCAAAAUUAAUUAUUAUUUUUAUAAAAAUAAACGUUAAAACUCAAAAAUGGUUAGGUAUGUAAAUAUAUUAGUCCGCACAAAGUGGAGAGCAUCAACUAGUUUGUCAUUAAAAAAUAUUACUAUUUAUUUAAAAGUUUAAAAUGAUAUUAACAUCUAUACUAUACUAAAAGUAGAAUAAGGUGAAUGGUGAGAGUGUCCACGUCAUUUAAAAUAAUCAGCCUAUCGGAAGGCUCUGUUUCGCCAUGUCACCACCGUUGAGAUAAAGUGGGCUUUCGUGCUGGAUCUAUUAAAAUUAUCUGUUGGCCCACCCAGCAUAUUUAGACAAACCUGUGUCUUCUUCUCCAAGCUCGGCGAGUCUGCCAAGGUUAAGUGACGAACCCGUCGGUUACCCUUUUUCCUUCUUCCUCCGUCAAUUUUCAACUCUCGAUAAACUUUAAUAUCUUCAGCCUUCAUAAACUCAUCCAUCCACCGUUACAUCUCCCCCUCUUAAUUGGUUUAGCUGUCCACCGUUAAAUCUCCACGAUACGAACCCAUCAACUCCCACUAUAUAUAUGAUUCAGCAGAUCAGUUGCUCGAAGCUGGGCAUACCCUCUACUGCUAGAAUUCAGGAAAGAAGAAGGUUUCUCCAUUGCAUGCUCCUGCCUCAGUUGACUGGAUCCAGAUUUCAAGACUGAAAUUUUUUCCAAGCAUUCUUGGGCCACGUAAAACCCUUCAGAAAGAAUUGAGCUAGCAACACACUGCAGGGUGUUUGUUAGAGAGUGAGGAUCUCUGAUGAAUAUUGUCAAGGUAUGGUUCAUUGUUUAUUGAUUCUCUGAAAUAUCCUAUUUCAUCACUGUUUCAACUGCAAGUGUAGAUGACUGUUAGAUGACUUCCUAUAGUUCAAUACCAUAUUCUCAUAUGUUAACUUGCCAAGCGGCUCUAUAGCCAUGUAUUAAAAAGCGCCUUCUAGCUAACGUUUGUAGCGGUUUCUUUGCAGCGGUUGCUCAGAUGGGAGUUACAUGUGGUCGUCAUUCGUUAUCCCUUCUUUCACAUUCAGUGGUUUCCAACGAACAGAAUCACAAAACGUCUCUUCCCUCUGGGAAGAUCCUUGCAUCUGAUCCUCUCGAGUAGCCAUUUUCAUCCCUCACCUCCCUUCCAUCAUCCUAGCACAAAAGAAACCAAGAAGAAAAACAACAUCAAUGUCACACAUAUAUAGAG